rnacentral:misc_RNA from 1 species
CCGAGUUUACACAAACUCCCAAACCCCAUGUGAACAAACCUCAGUUGCUUCGGCGGGACUGCCCCGGCGCCUUCACCGGCAGCCCGGAACCAGGCGCCCGCCGGAGGCCAUUAAACUCUUGUUUCUCACGGUGACACGCUCUGAGUAAUAAAAAUAAAUGAAUCA